rnacentral:rRNA from 1 species
CCGCAAGGCCAGUGGCGCAAGGGUGAGUAAGGCGACGGCAACCAACCCCAUGGUUGGGUAUAGCCGCGGGAAACCGCGGGUAAUCCCCAGCGACGCACGAGGCCGGCAUCGGCUUUGUGCCAAAGCUCAGGCGCCGUGGGACGGGCCGUCGUGGUAUUAGGUUGUUGGCGGGGUAACGGCCCACCAAGCCGACGAUGCCUACCGGGCGUGCGAGCGUGGCCCGGCACACUGGGACUGAGACACUGCCCAGACUCCUACGGGAGGCUGCAGUCGAGAAUCUUCGGCAAUGGGCGCAAGCCUGACCGAGCGACGCCGCGUGGAGGAUGAAGGCCUUCGGGUUGUAAACUCCUGUCGAGGGGGAAGAAGGCCCCGCAAGGGGCUUGACUGAUCCCUGGAGGAAGCACGGGCUAAGUUCGUGCCAGCAGCCGCGGUAAGACGAACCGUGCGAACGUUAUUCGGAAUCACUGGGCUUAAAGCGCGUGUAGGCGGGAGGGCACGUCCGUCGCUGAAAUCCCCCGGCUCAACCGGGGAACGGGCGCGGAUACGACCUUCCUCGAGGGGCGUAGGGGGACCUGGAACUUCCGGUGGAGCGGUGAAAUGCGUUGAGAUCGGAAGGAACGCCCGUGGCGAAAGCGAGGUCCUGGACGCCUACUGACGCUGAGACGCGAAAGCCAGGGGAGCGAACGGGAUUAGAUACCCCGGUAGUCCUGGCCGUAAACGAUGGGCACUGGGUAGGGGGCUCGCCGAUGGGCUCCCUGCCGAAGGGAAACCGUGAAGUGCCCCGCCUGGGGAGUAUGGUCGCAAGGCUGAAACUC